rnacentral:rRNA from 1 species
UACGAAGGGGGCUAGCGUUGCUCGGAAUGACUGGGCGUAAAGGGCGCGUAGGCGGAUGGCACAGUCAGAUGUGAAAUUCCCGGGCUUAACCUGGGGGCUGCAUUUGAUACGUGUUGUCUAGAGUGAGGAAGAGGGUUGUGGAAUUCCCAGUGUAGAGGUGAAAUUCGUAGAUAUUGGGAAGAACACCGGUGGCGAAGGCGGUUCUCUGGGCCUUACCUGACACUGAGGAGCGAAAGCGUGGGGAGCAAACAGG